rfam:Trichosporon oleaginosus strain IBC0246 unplaced genomic scaffold CC85scaffold_7, whole genome shotgun sequence.
GGCGAGAUGGCCGAGUGGUCUAAGGCGCUGUGUUCAGGAGAUCCCUCUGCGAGAGCAGAACGAGGGAAUCAAGUACCUCCGCAGUCUUCGGACGUGGGUUCGAAUCCCACUCUCCUCA